GACAGGGGAUGCAAGCGUUAUCCGGAAUGAUUGGGCGUAAAGCGUCUGUAGGUGGCUUUCCAAGUCUCUUGUUAAAUCCCAGAGCUUAACUUUGGAUCAGCACGAGAAACUCGAAAGCUUGAGUACGGUAGGGGCAGAGGGAAUUCCCGGUGUAGCGGUGAAAUGCGUAGAGAUCGGGAAGAACACCGAUGGCGAAAGCACUCUGCUGGGCCGUUACUGACACUGAGAGACGAAAGCUAAGGGAGCGAAUGGG
rnacentral:rRNA from 1 species